rnacentral:rRNA from 1 species
CCUACGGGGGACAGCAGUGAGGAAUAUUGGUCAAUGGCCGGAAGGCUGAACCAGCCAAGCCGCGUGAAGGACGAAGGUCCCAAGCAUUGUAAACUUCUUUUGUCAAGGGACACACUCCGCCUCGCGAGCCUGACCGCGGGUACUUUAAGAACAAGCAUUGGCUAACUCCGUGCCAGCAGCCGCGGUAAUACGGAGGAUGCGAGCGUUAUCCGGAUUUAUUGGGUUUAAAGGGUGGGUAGGCGGACUGUUAAGUCAGCGGUAAAAUCGCGGGGCUCAACCUCGCUCCGCCGUUGAAACUGGCGUUCUUGAGUGGGCGAGAAGUAGGCGGAAUGCGUGGUGUAGCGGUGAAAUGCAUAGAUAGCACGCAGAACUCCGAUUGCGAAGGCAGCAUACCGGCGCCCAACUGACGCUGAAGCACGAAAGCGUGGGUAUCGAACAGGAUUAGAUACCCUUGUAGUC